rnacentral:rRNA from 1 species
UGCCAGCAGCCGCGGUAAUACGGAGGGGGCUAGCGUUGUUCGGAUUUACUGGGCGUAAAGCGCGCGUAGGCGGCCUGGAUAGUUGGGAGUGAAAGCCCGGGGCUCAACCCCGGAACUGCUCUCAAAACUUCCAAGCUAGAGAUCUGGAGAGGAGGGUGGAAUUCCAAGUGUAGAGGUGAAAUUCGUAGAUAUUUGGAAGAACACCAGUGGCGAAGGCGACUCUCUGGCCAGAUACUGACGCUGAGGUGCGAAAGCGUGGGGAGCAAACAGGAUUAGAUA